CCUGCCUGGCGGCUCCUAACGGCCUGGCCGAAAGGGCUCGUCGGGUCGUGGGCUCUGGUCCUCAGUCUGGCUCCCUUCCUGCGGCCUGGUGGCCUGUCCACGUGUCCCUCUUUGCUCACCCUCCAUUAGAUCUUUCUAUCCCACCCUGCUUCCCCAGGGACGUCAUGCACCCCCCCCCGCCCCCCACUCCAGCUUCUGACGUCUCCCCGUGUGUGGGGGAGCUGUGUGCACCAUGCCUCCUGUGUGCCCCCUCCAUCUGCUUGUCCCCCUUGGGCAGGAGGGGCCCCGUCGUUCGAGGAAGUGCGUGGGCCCACACGCUUUUCUGUGGAAAAGGCUUUUCUGGAGAAGACACUCCCUUUACCGGAAGGCUUUCCCCCCGAUUCCCACAAGGCUCAUGUCCUCACUUCAUUUGGUCUCAUUCCAGCAUGUUGAGGAUGCUGGGAAACCGACUCAUUCUUUAGAAACCGAUAAGGUGACGGAACAACUAUUUAUCCUGCCUUUCCCGGCAAACAAAGUCGGGAGAGGGACACCAGACACCGUGCACCACAGGACGGCACAGUGCCCCUCCGGCCCAGCGGAAAGAGAUGCGAGCUCCCGGUGGGACCGCUGGCUUCCAGAAGCUUCCAGAAGCUCAGAGGACAGAGGGAUGUUCUGGCUCCACCUCGAGAGUCCCUCGUCCACCUCCACCUGAGACAUGGCAACCAGAGCAGCACCCGAGCUGGUUCAGGCCUGACUGUGAUAA